rnacentral:rRNA from 1 species
CAACACUUUACGGACGCUGAGGCACGAAAGCGUGGGUAUCGAACAGGAUUAGAUACCCUGGUAGUCCACGCAGUAAACGAUGAAUACUAAUUGUUCGGGGGGCAACCCCUGAGUGAUACAGCGAAAGCGUUAAGUAUUCCACCUGGGGAGUACGCCGGCAACGGUGAAACUCAAAGGAAUUGACGGGGGCCCGCACAAGCGGAGGAACAUGUGGUUUAAUUCGAUGAUACGCGAGGAACCUUACCCGGGCUCAAACGUUGGGGGAAUGACGGUGAAAGCCGUCAGCCAGCAAUGGUCGCCAACGAGGUGCUGCAUGGUUGUCGUCAGCUCGUGCCGUGAGGUGUCGGCUUAAGUGCCAUAACGAGCGCAACCCCUGCGUCCAGUUACCAUCAAGUCAUGUUGGGGACUCUGGACGGACUGCCGGCGCAAGCCGUGAGGAAGGCGGGGAUGACGUCAAAUCAGCACGGCCCUUACGUCCGGGGCGACACACGUGUUACAAUGGCGUGGAACAGCGGGAAGCCACCUGGCGACAGGGAGCGGACCCCUAAAACACGUCUCAGUUCGGAUUGGAGUCUGCAACUCGACUCCAUGAAGCUGGAUUCGCUAGUAAUCGCGCAUCAGCCAUGGCGCGGUGAAUACGUUCCCGGGCCUUGUACACACCGCCCGUCAAGCCAUGGGAGCCGGGAGUGCCUGAAGUACGUAACCGGAAGGAGCGUCCAAGGGUAACACUGGUGACUGGGGCUAAGUCGUAACAAGGUAACC